UGGGGAAUAUUGGACAAUGGGGGGAACCCUGAUCCAGCCAUGCCGCGUGUGUGAAGAAGGCCUUAUGGUUGUAAAGCACUUUAAGCGAGGAGGAGGCUCUCUUGGUUAAUACCCAAGAUGAGUGGACGUUACUCGCAGAAUAAGCACCGGCUAACUCUGUGCCAGCAGCCGCGGUAAUACAGAGGGUGCGAGCGUUAAUCGGAUUUACUGGGCGUAAAGCGUGCGUAGGCGGCUUUUUAAGUCGGAUGUGAAAUCCCCGAGCUUAACUUGGGAAUUGCAUUCGAUACUGGGAAGCUAGAGUAUGGGAGAGGAUGGUAGAAUUCCAGGUGUAGCGGUGAAAUGUGUAGAGAUCUGGAGGAAUACCGAUGGCGAAGGCAGCCAUCUGGCCUAAUACUGACGCUGAGGUACGAAAGCAUGGGGAGCAAACAGG
rnacentral:rRNA from 1 species